AGCGCGUAAUACGGAGGGUCCAAGCGUUAAUCGGAAUUACUGGGCGUAAAGCGCGCGUAGAUGUUUAUUCAGUUGGGUGUGAAAUCCCUGGGCUCAACUAGGAACUGCAUUCAAAACUUAUAAACUAGAGUACGAAAGAGGAGAGUAGAAUUCAUGGUGUAGCGGUGAAAUGCGUAGAGAUCAUGAGGAAUACCAGUGGCGAAGGCGACUCUCUGGUUCGAGACUGACAUUGAGGUGCGAAAGCGUGGGUAGCAAACAGGAUUAGAUACCCUGGUAGUCCACGCCGUAAACGAUGAGAACUAGCCGUUGGAUCUUUAGAUUCAGUGGCGCAGCUAACGCAUUAAGUUCUCCGCCUGGGGAGUACGGCCGCAAGGCUAAAACUCAAAUGAAUUGACGGGGGCCCGCACAAGCGGUGGAGCAUGUGGUUUAAUUCGAUGCAACGCGAAAAACCUUACCAACCCUUGACAUCCAGUGGAAGUUUUAGAGAUAAAACUGUGCCUUUGGGAACACUGUGACAGGUGUUGCAUGGCUGUCGUCAGCUCGUGUCGUGAGAUGUAUGGUUAAGUCCAGUAACGAGCGCAACCCUUAUCCUUAUUUGCCAGCACUUCGGGUGGGAACUUUAAGGAGACUGCCGUGAAUAACACGGAGGAAGGUGGGGACGACGUCAAGUCAUCAUGGCCCUUACGGGUUGGGCUACACACGUGCUACAAUGGGAGAUACAGACGGUUGCGAAAGCGCGAGCUGGAGCUAAUCCUACAAAGUCUUCCUCAGUCCGGAUUGGAGUCUGCAACUCGACUCCAUGAAGCAGGAAUCGCUAGUAAUCGCGAAUCAGAAUGUCGCGGUGAAUACGUUCUCGGGCCUUGUACACACCGCCCGUCACGUCAUGGGAGUGUGUUGUACCAGAAGUGGCUUGCCUAACCUUCGGGAGGGCGGUCCCCACGGUAUGAUACGCGACUGGGACGAAGUCGUAACAAGGUAGCCCUAGGGGAACCUGGGGCUG
rnacentral:rRNA from 1 species